UCAGACGAUGCGUCAUGCAUAUCAAUAAGCGGAGGAAAAGAAACUAACAUAGGAUUCCCUCAGUAACGGCGAGUGAAGCGGGAAGAGCUCAAAUUUGAAAUCUUCAAGGUUUGACCUUGACGAAUUGUAGUUUAAAGAAGUGUUUUCGGUUAGAGGAGUUUGGUAAAAGUUCUUUGGAAUAGGACAUCAUAGAGGGUGAGAAUCCCGUAUUUGACCAUUAUUUCCAGCUGUGUGAUACACUUUCAAAGAGUCGGAUUGUUUGGGAAUGCAGUCCAAAAUGGGUGGUAAAUUUCAUCUAAAGCUAAAUAUUGGCGAGAGACCGAUAGCGAACAAGUACCGUGAGGGAAAGAUGAAAAGAACUUUGAAAAGAGAGUUAAACAGUACGUGAAAUUGUCAAAAGGGAAGCGUUUGACACCAGUGUUGUUUUCUCGAAAAUCAAUUAUAAAUAGUUGAUUUUGAGGAGUGUAUUGACCUUUAAUCAGGCUUGCUUCUACUCUUUCCUGAACUUUUGUAAUGCACUUUUCGGUUAACAAGUCAACAUCAAUUUCUUUUGUUGUAAAAGGGUCAUUCGGAAGGUGGCUUUCUCUUCGGAGAAAGUGUUUAUAGCCCUUGAUACUCUACAAUCGGAGAGACUGAGGUCUGCAGCGUAGAUCCUUCGGGGUUAGAUACACUUGUGCUAAGCUACUAGCUUUUCAUAGACAACUUGUUGACUAUGUUUAGUCUUGUAGCUUACUCGCUUAGUGCUAUUUUACCUACGCUUAGGAUGUUGAUAUGCAUGACUGAUAU
rnacentral:rRNA from 1 species